UACGUAGGGGGGCGAGCGUUGUCCGGAUUUAUUGGGCGUAAAGAGCGUGUAGGCGGCCAGGUAGGUCUGCUGUGAAAACUCGAGGCUUAACCUCGAGAUGUCGGCGGAAACCAUCUGGCUAGAGUCCGGAAGAGGAGAGUGGAAUUCCUGGUGUAGCGGUGAAAUUCGUAGAUAUCGGGAAGAACACCCGUGGCGAAGGCGGCUCUCUGGGACGGUACUGACGCUGAGACGCGAAAGCGUGGGGAGCGAACAGG
rnacentral:rRNA from 1 species